UACGUAGGGUGCGAGCGUUAAUCGGAAUUACUGGGCGUAAAGCGUGCGCAGGCGGCUUCGCAAGUCAGACGUGAAAUCCCCGGGCUCAACCUGGGAACUGCAUUUGUGACUGCAUCGCUGGAGUGCGGCAGAGGGGGAUGGAAUUCCGCGUGUAGCAGUGAAAUGCGUAGAUAUGCGGAGGAACACCGAUGGCGAAGGCAAUCCCUGGGCCGCACU
rnacentral:rRNA from 1 species